UUGGUUAAGUUAGAAAGGGCGCACGGUGGAUGCCUUGGCACUAGGAGCCGAAGAAGGACGGGACUAACACCGAUAUGCUUUGGGGAGCUGUACGUAAGCGUUGAUCCAGAGAUUUCCGAAUGGGGGAACCCACUAUCUUUAGUCGGAUAGUAUCCUUACGUGAAUACAUAGCGUGAGGAAGGCAGACCCAGGGAACUGAAACAUCUAAGUACCUGGAGGAAGAGAAAGAAAAAUCGAUUUCCUGAGUAGCGGCGAGCGAAACGGAAAGAGCCCAAACCAAGAAGCUUGCUUCUUGGGGUUGUAGGACACUCUAUACGGAGUUACAAAAGAAAGUUAUAAAUGAAGCGGUCUGGAAAGGCCCGCCAAAGACGGUAACAGCCCGGUAGUUGAAAUGGCUUUCCCUCCAGAGUGGAUCCUGAGUACGGCGGAACACGUGAAAUUCCGUCGGAAUCCGGGAGGACCAUCUCCCAAGGCUAAAUACUCCCUAGUGACCGAUAGUGAACCAGUACCGUGAGGGAAAGGUGAAAAGCACCCCGGAAGGGGAGUGAAACAGUUCCUGAAACCGUGUGCCUACAAGUAGUUAGAGCCCGUUAAUGGGUGAUAGCGUGCCUUUUGUAGAAUGAACCGGCGAGUUACGAUUUGUUGCAAGGUUAAGCGGAAAAAGCGGAGCCGUAGCGAAAGCGAGUCUGAAUAGGGCGCAUAAGUAACAGGUCGUAGACCCGAAACCAGGUGAUCUACCCAUGUCCAGGAUGAAGGUAAGGUAAUACUUACUGGAGGUCCGAACCCACGCACGUUGAAAAGUGCGGGGAUGAGGUGUGGGUAGCGGAGAAAUUCCAAUCGAACUUGGAGAUAGCUGGUUCUCUCCGAAAUAGCUUUAGGGCUAGCCUCGAGGUAAAGAGUCAUGGAGGUAGAGCACUGUUUGGACUAGGGGCCCUUCUCGGGUUACCGAAUUCAGAUAAACUCCGAAUGCCAUGUACUUAUACUCGGGAGUCAGACUGCGAGUGAUAAGAUCCGUAGUCGAAAGGGAAACAGCCCAGACCACCAGUUAAGGUCCCCAAAUAUAUGUUAAGUGGAAAAGGAUGUGGGGUUGCUUAGACAACCAGGAUGUUGGCUUAGAAGCAGCCACCAUUGAAAGAGUGCGUAAUAGCUCACUGGUCGAGUGACCCCGCGCCGAAAAUGUACCGGGGCUAAACAUAUUACCGAAACUGUGGAUGAACCUCUUUAGAGGUUCGUGGUAGGAGAGCGUUCUAAGGGCGGUGAAGUCAGACCGGAAGGACUGGUGGAGCGCUUAGAAGUGAGAAUGCCGGUAUGAGUAGCGAAAGAAGGGUGAGAAUCCCUUCCACCGAAUAUCUAAGGUUUCCUGAGGAAGGCUCGUCCGCUCAGGGUUAGUCGGGACCUAAGCCGAGGCCGAUAGGCGUAGGCGAUGGACAACAGGUAGAGAUUCCUGUACCAGUGCUAAUUGUUUAACCGAUGGGGUGACACAGAAGGAUAGGGAAUCGCACGAAUGGAAAUGUGCGUCCAAGCAGUGAGUGUGAGAAGUAGGCAAAUCCGCUUCUCGCGAAGCAUGAGCUGUGAUGGGGAAGGAAAUUAAGUACGGAAGUUCCUGAUUUCACGCUGUCAAGAAAAGCCUCUAGGAAGAGUAGUACUGCCCGUACCGCAAACCGACACAGGUAGAUGAGGAGAGAAUCCUAAGGUGAGCGAGAGAACUCUCGUUAAGGAACUCGGCAAAAUGACCCCGUAACUUCGGGAGAAGGGGUGCUCUAUUAGGGUGCAAGCCCGAGAGAGCCGCAGUGAAUAGGCCCAGGCGACUGUUUAGCAAAAACACAGGUCUCUGCAAAACCGUAAGGUGACGUAUAGGGGCUGACGCCUGCCCGGUGCUGGAAGGUUAAGAGGAGUGCUUAGCUUCGGCGAAGGUACGAAUUGAAGCCCCAGUAAACGGCGGCCGUAACUAUAACGGUCCUAAGGUAGCGAAAUUCCUUGUCGGGUAAGUUCCGACCCGCACGAAAGGCGCAACGAUCUGGGCACUGUCUCAACGAGAGACUCGGUGA
rnacentral:rRNA from 1 species